UUUCCAGUCCUAACGGCUCCUUCAGUUUUCAAAUUUCUCGUUGAUGAAGUGGAAGACGAAACAGCGGCGUCUGAAGGCUCACUGUCAUUCACAAGUGGCUCCAGUCUGGUUUGGGGGUUCUGCCAUCCAAGUAAAGUUAUUCACAAGUGGCUCCAGUCUGGUUUGGGGGUCUACGCUUUCUCAUCCUGUCCUGCCACCCAAGUGAAGUUAUUCACAAGUGGCUCCAGUCUGGUUUGGGGGUCUAAGCUUUCUCAUCCUGUCCUGCCACCCAAGUGAAGUUAUUCACACAAGUGGCUCCAGUCUGGUUUGGGGGUCUACGCUUUCUCAUCCUGUCCUGCCACCCAAGUGAAGUUAUUCACAAGUGGCUCCAGUCUGGUUUGGGGGUCUACGCUUUCUCAUCCUGUCCUGCCACCCAAGUGAAGU